rnacentral:rRNA from 1 species
UACGAAGGGGGCUAGCGUUGCUCGGAUUGACUGGGCGUAAAGGGCGCGUAGGCGGUUCGUACAGUCAGACGUGAAAUUCCUGGGCUCAACCUGGGGGCUGCGUUUGAUACGUGCGGACUUGAGUGCGGAAGAGGGUCGUGGAAUUCCCAGUGUAGAGGUGAAAUUCGUAGAUAUUGGGAAGAAGACCAGUGGCGAAGGCGGAUCUCUGGACAGCUCCUGACGCUGAGGCGCGAAGGCUAGGGGAGCAAACGGG